GCGGAGGUGGCGAAAUUGGUAGACGCACUACUUUGAGGUGGUAGCGCCGUAACUGGCGUGGGAGUUCGAAUCUCCUCUUCCGCACAA
rnacentral:tRNA from 1 species